UAACACAUGCAAGUCGAACGGAGAAUUUAUUUCGGUAAAUUCUUAGUGGCGAACGGGUGAGUAACGCGUAGGCAACCUGCCCUCCAGUUGGGGACAACAUUCCGAAAGGAAUGCUAAUACCGAAUGUGAUCCCUUUUCCGCAUGGAGAAGGGAUGAAAGAUGGCCUCUAUUUAUAAGCUAUCGCUGGAAGAUGGGCCUGCGUCUGAUUAGCUAGUUGGUGGGGUAACGGCUCACCAAGGCGAUGAUCAGUAGCCGGUCUGAGAGGAUGAACGGCCACAUUGGGACUGAGACACGGCCCAAACUCCUACGGGAGGCAGCAGUGGGGAAUCUUCCGCAAUGGACGAAAGUCUGACGGAGCAACGCCGCGUGAGUGAUGAAGGUCUUCGGAUUGUAAAACUCUGUUGUCAGGGACGAAUGUGCGAACGUUGAAUAAGCGUUUGUAUUGACGGUACCUGACGAGGAAGCCACGGCUAACUACGUGCCAGCAGCCGCGGUAAUACGUAGGUGGCAAGCGUUGUCCGGAAUUAUUGGGCGUAAAGAGCAUGUAGGCGGGCUUUUAAGUCCGACGUGAAAAUGCGGGGCUUAACCCCGUAUGGCGUUGGAUACUGGAAGUCUUGAGUGCAGGAGAGGAAAGGGGAAUUCCCAGUGUAGCGGUGAAAUGCGUAGAUAUUGGGAGGAACACCAGUGGCGAAGGCGCCUUUCUGGACUGUGUCUGACGCUGAGAUGCGAAAGCCAGGGUAGCAAACGGGAUUAGAUACCCCGGUAGUCCUGGCCGUAAACGAUGGGUACUAGGUGUAGGAGGUAUCGACCCCUUCUGUGCCGGAGUUAACGCAAUAAGUACCCCGCCUGGGGACUACGAUCGCAAGA
rnacentral:rRNA from 1 species